rnacentral:misc_RNA from 1 species
GAUGAAGAACGUAGCAAAAUGCGAUAAGUAGUGUGAAUUGCAGAAUUCAGUGAAUCAUCGAAUCUUUGAACGCACAUUGCGCCCGCUAGUAUUCUGGCGGGCAUGCCUGUUCGAGCGUCAUUUCAACCAUCAAGCCCUAGGCUUGCGUUGGAGCCCUGCGGCUGCCGCAGGCUCCCAAAUCCAGUGGCGGGCUCGUCGUCGUACCGAGUGCAGUAAACAUCCUCGCUCAGGGAACGUGACGGGUUCUUGCCGUGAAACCCCCCACAUAUCAAGGUUGACCUCGGAUCAGGUAGGAAUACCCGCUGAACUUAAGCAUAUCAAUAAGCGGAGGA